rnacentral:rRNA from 1 species
CGGCGAGUGAAGCGGGAAGAGCUCAAAUUUGUAAUCUGGCGGCCUUUGGCCGUCCGAGUUGUAGUCUCGAGAAGCGUUUUCUGCGUCGGACCGUGUACAAGUCCCUUGGAACAGGGCGUCGUAGAGGGUGAGAAUCCCGUCUUUGACACGGACUGCUGGUGCUUUGUGAUGCGCUCUCAAAGAGUCGAGUUGUUUGGGAAUGCAGCUCAAAACGGGUGGUAAAUUCCAUCUAAAGCUAAAUAUGGGCGAAAGACCGAUAGCGAACAAGUACCGUGAGGGAAAGAUGAAAAGCACUUUGGAAAGAGAGUUAAACAGUACGUGAAAUUGCUGAAAGGGAAACGCUUGAAGUCAGUCGCGUCUCCCGGGACUCAGCCGUGCCUCUCGCGCGGUGUACUUCCUGGGGUGUGACGGGCCAGCAUCGGUUUCGACCGUCGGAAAAAGGCUCUGGGAAUGUGGCACCUUUCUGGGUGUGUUUAUAGCCCUGGGUCGCAUGCGACGGUUGGGAUCGAGGACCGCAGCACGCCUUUUUGGCCGGGGUUCGCCCACGUUAACGUGCUUAGGAUGCUUGGCGUAAUGGCUUUAAGCGACCCGUCUUGAAACACGGACCAAGGAGUCCAACAUGCCUGCGAGUGUUUGGGUGGAAAACCCGGACGCGUAAUGAAAGUGAAAAGGUCGGGACCUCUGUCGUGGAGGGCACCGACGCCCGGACCAGACCUUCUGUGACGGUUCCGAGGUAGAGCAUGCAUGCUGGGACCCGAAAGAUGGUGAACUAUGCCUGAGUAGGGCGAAGCCAGAGGAAACUCUGGUGGAGGCUCGUAGCGAUUCUGACGUGCAAAUCGAUCGUCGAACUUGGGUAUAGGGGCGAAAGACUAAUCG